UGUAAAUGUUUAUUGAACUACAAAAUGCCCAUAGAAAAAUGUUGUAAAUAUAGAACAUAUGUAAAUCAUAAGCACAAAACUGAAUGCUUCUUUAUUUUCUUUUUUUUUUUUGAGACAGAGUUUCGUUCUUGUUGCCCAAGCUGGAGUGCAAUGGUGUGAUCUUGGCUCACCUGCAACCUCCGCCUCCUGGGUUCAGGCAAUUCUCCUGCCUCAGCCUCCUGAGUAGCUGGGAUUACAGGCAUGCGCCACCACACCUGACUAAUUUUUUUGUACUUUUAGUAGAGACUGGGUUUCUCCAUGUUGGUCAGCCUGGUCCUAAGUGAUUUGCCCACCUCAGGCUCCCAAAGUGCUGGGAUUACAGGCGUGAACCACUGUUCCUGGCCAAAAACGGGAUGAAUUUUCACAAAAUGAACAUACCUGGGUAGCCAACACUCAGCUCAAGGAACAGAAGGUUGCAAACACCCCAAAGCACCCAUUAUACCCCCUUCAAGGUACUAAACACCCCAAAAAUAAGGAAUCUCUAUUGUGACUUCAAAGAGUAUAGAUUAGUGUUUCUGCCUGGUUUUGACCUUCAUGUGGGUAGGAUCAUGUACUGUUUGUGCCUUUAGAGCCAGCCUCUUUCACUCUGCAUGUUCUUGAGAUUCAUCCUUUGCUUGAGUUUGAACCCACCUGCAAUAGGAGGGAGAGGAUGCCUCAGGGAUUAUCCUCCUUUGGGUGUCAAACUCAGGCUCUCCUGAGAUCCCUGUCAACCCCUUUUCAGAGUUUGGUGUUAGCACCCUCAAUUUGCUGUACCUCCAAACUCCCCAGAUCCCAAACAGGAUGAGGACUGGGAGAUCCUGCCCUCUUGGGGCUCCUAUCCAAGUUGAGAUCUGGGAACUGCUGGUCCCAGACCACACCCUCCAAAGGGACUGCAGAGGAAGUCCCCAACCUGGGCGGGGUGAAUUAGAUGGCGCUUUGAGAUCUCAGGAUGAAAGGACCGCCUAGGGCCAUUGUCCUUGGCCUCCUGUCCAGCUUGGCAGGAGUGGAGAGGCAGUACCCUGACCCUUCAGGCCGCAGGGAUGGGGCAUCAGCUUAUUGGGAGUGGCACACCAGGCUCUGGAGGACUCUGUUCUGAGAAGCUUCUGCUCAUAGAAGCAGGGAGCCGAGGGUGGAGAUAUAGGGGAUAGGGAGUCAAGGGCUCACGCCCCUGGGGUCUGCCUCCCAACCUCCUGGGCAGCACCCAGACAGCCCGGCUCUGGUGCCGUGUGUGGUUUCAGGAUAAGCUGCCGAUGCCACCCAGAGCGCCCUGCUGACAGACAAGGAUCUCGCCCGCUUUCAAAGACGCCCUUUCAUCUGCCAGGGCUAAUUACACCUGCAGAGCAGAGAAGAGGGCACUGGAGCCAGCCCCCUCCUUCUUCCCCCAUCCUGCUCCCAAGCCCCCUACCUCAGGAACCCUUCCACUCCCUCCCUUCUGCCUGCUCCAAAGCUCCCUGGCAGCCUCAGCAGCUGCUAGUUAUGGCUCCUCUAGUGACAAGUGGCCCUGGCUACUGAGAGGGAGGGUGUGUGAGAGCAGAGGGCUGGGAUAUGGGCCUAUGUGUGUGCAUGAGGGUUGGGAUUAGGGGGGUCUGGCUGUGUAUAAGGAAGCUACUAGGGACUAGAUUAGGACCUCCUGAGUGUGGAAGCUCUGUCGCUGUUGGAGGCAGCUUGGUGUCGGCCAGGAGCACUUUGGCUCUGAUGCAGGCAGGUCUGGGUUGGCUGCCCAGGUAUGAAAGUGGAAGGCUCAGUGCCCCCCACUCGAUGUGUAGGCAAGUGGCUUCCAAGACUUGGGUCAUCCCCAGGGUACUCGAUGCUUUUUCCUCUUCCAGCACUUUGAGUGCUGCUUUGCAACACCCUGCUAAUGUAACUGAGUCUCCCACCACCUUGUAAGGCGCCAUGUUGGUCUGUCUUUGCACUUCAUUCUCAUGGUAGAUGCUCACUGCCUGAAUGGUAGUGGAGAGCGUGUGAGGGAGCACAUGGGUGAAGGGGACCCCAGGAGUGUGUGGGGCCUCUUGGCAUGGUGAGGCUCUGUGCUGAGGUGAGUGGGGCGUGCUUGCUCCAGUGGUCACAGUGUACGCCUGCAUUGGGGUCUGGAUGAGCCUCUGGGUAAGUGACGACCUAAGAGGGUGUGUGGCUGAGUGAGGGCAUGUGUGCAUGUGUGUGUGCGUGUGCAUGCCAGCGGAGGCUCUAUGUUUGUGGCUGCAUGUCAUGCUCUGUUCAGGAGGAACACCUGUGAGGGGUGGUUGGGGAAGACACGGGAAGUGUGGCUGUGGCUGAGGAUCUGCCAAGGGCUUCCAGUGGGGGCGAGAUCUUUAGAAGAACAGAUGAAGUCCUCAAACAGGCUCUUCCUUCCCAGGCUCCUCUCCUCAAAACCGGGAGAGAAAAAACAGCAAAAGCCCAUUUCCUUCCCUAGAUGGGAUAAGCGAGAGGGAGCUACCACCAUAACCACAGUGCCCCACCCGCUUCCUGGUCCAAAGGAACAGAGGAAAUGCCAGCAAUGGGUUUCCACAGGGGGCCCAGGAAGCUGAGGUCCAUGAGGGUGAGGUGGGAGGAUUAGAGCCCCCACUCGCCGUGUUGCCAAGUGGUGGUCUACCCUUGCACAUGAAGCGUGAGUCCAGAUUUUCUGAGAUAGUGGUGGGUCCUCACUCAGUCUCUUAGUGUUCCCAUCACCCAAAAGCAAAGAAAUUCUUGGUGUCUAACCCAAGUCCUCGGCAUUCCAGGCCUAGUCAGGGCCCUGCCCUCCCACUGUCAGAAUUCUUAGUAGACAUGAACAACUGACCACCGGGACCCUAUAUACUCAAGUCGGGGUCACUGACAUUAUGGUUUCUCCACUUUUCCUCUAAGCCUCAUGGCUUCUCUUUGCCCUCCCAGAUCCCCUCUUCUGACCCCGCCUGUCUCGGAAAUGUCAUUCCCUGAGCUCCUCCUGACAGCACGUCCUUCUGGCAUCUAACCAACUUAUCUCAUGCUCUCAGGCCCUGUUUCGGGGCUGGUGCAUGGGGACCCUCACUGGGGCAGUGCGAUAAGACGGGGUCUGACGACCUGGCUGAGGUCACCGGCCACCGAAGUACGUCAGCGAUGGGUGUGUAUGUCCCAGCCGGCCGCACAGCCUCGCUUUCAUCCUUUGUUCCUACCAGCCCGGCCCAUUCCCACCACAGAUUCUCAGAUUCCCAGCGUGGCGUGUCCGAUGAGCAGGAGUCUUCGCCCGGACACGAUCCUCUCCCGGCCCUGCCCUCUGCUCACCUCCCCCUCCCUGUCUCCCUCCCAGCCACUUUCAGUGAGGCAGUUGCUUUCCAUCUCCCUCCUGCGUUCUCCUUGCCAAACCUCCAAUGGCCAUCAGAGGAAUUGUGGUUGAACACAAGGAAGGAUGUUUGGGGGUGUUGCUGAGCAGGGAACUUGGCAGGUGGUGGGCCCCCCCUUUCCAGAGUGCCUAUCAGCAGGUUGGGAGGGAAAGAAACACGUGUGCCUGGGGGAAGAGGGGUGGGCAAGGUGAUUUCUCCAUCUCCCAUCAGGCCUCGGAUGCGAUCCCAGAGCCUUUUUGUUCACGGUGGCUGUCUGGCUGCUCCGUUCCCGCAGCCAAACCCCAAACAUUUCUCCAUUCACCCUGGCUUAAAACUAGGUUUCCACCUCCCUGGAAUGGUUGUUUGUAUUUGGCCCUCCCACUUGCCUGCAUCAUCUCUGGCAGGGAUUUGAACCUCAUCUCCUGGCUCCCAGCCCCUUCCCAGGCAUAACCAUGGCCCCCAACCUAGGCCCAUCUUCCUCCUUGUCUCCAGGGAGUCUGUGACUUGGGUUUGCUUCUCCACACCCCUCCUCACAUCUUCCUUGCCCUCAUUCUCCGAGAAGCCCUCUCAGAGACCCCUCCCUGGCCUUGCCUCCUCCUUUCUUUCCUGCCCUCCCUCUCCUCAUCCUGAGACCCACAUUCUUUCCAGCCAGAGUCUUCCUGUUUCUCGUCUCUUCUGGGUGCCUGCGAGUGUCAGUCUGUAUCCCCUCCCACCCCAGUUAAGUGCUCCUCAGGGACAGGAACCUUUAUAUUUCCCCGAAUUCCCAGAAAAGCCAUGAGACUAGAGCUUGGAGAAGUGAGGGAGGGGAAGAGGGCAAUUAUCAGGGGAGGUGAUGAAAAAUUGGUAAUAGUUGAAGCAUAAAGACAAAGCAUGUCUCCCCUGAGCCCUGGCCCGGUGAUCAGUGUAGAGAAGAGAAAGGAACAGCAACCAACAUUUAGUGGGGUAGAUGGGGUGGGAAGAGGAAAAUUCCCCAUCAUUCAUCUUGUGGGUCUGAAGGGAGGUCCCCUAGAAGUUUUUCAAAGCGAAGACCAGAAGAGGUGAAAGGGCAUGGUUGGGGCAGCAUGAAGGUCUGAUGACUGAGGAUGGAGGGAGCCCUGUGCUCCAGCUCCUCUUUCUAGACUGCCUCUAGGGACAUCAGCAGCAUUUGGGUGCCGUUUGCUCACUGAAGCAACCCAAAGUCCUAAAGGUGCUAACAAAAGUCCCCAGGCACCCUCCCAUCCUGGCCUGGAAGAGAACCCACUGGCUCUUAUCCUGGAUCUGCCAUUAAUUAAUGUGCUGAGUGAUCUCUGGCAAGUCUCUCAGCUUCUCUGGGCUUCCCUUUCCGGUCCUCACCCCUCCACAGCAGGAACAGGUGCCUGAGGGAGGAGUGGAGACUUCCCCAGCCUGGCUUGGAGGCAGGAUGAUGGAGGAGGGAUGGACUCUCUCAGAGGCUCCUUGGGUCCUGGUGGUCGGGGCCAGUGGUACCUUCUUGGACCCUUUUCCUGGUCAGUGGGGGAGGUCAAUGAGGGGACUCCAGAGAGAAGCAUGAAUCUCUCCUCGGCUUCUCUUCCUAGCCUUCCUCAGGGUGGCUCCCAGGAAUCCCCUUCACCCCUGGGUCCCCUCCCCUCAUGUUCCCCCUCCUCCUGCACAGGAGCAGGAGCACACCCUCAGGAGAGAGACUAGCCCAGCACUCAUGAUGAGCAAUAAUUUGUUUUAUGACAGAAAAGGAAAUUGUCUUCAGUUUCACAAGAGCAAAACGAAUUCGUUUGAAGUAGUUUGCCCUGCGGCAGGCAGGAGAAGAAGGUUUCUCUCUAGAGCUUACCUUCGCUCUCCUUCUCUCUCCCUCUCCCCUUCUAAUUACAGCAGCUUCCAAGCUGUUGGCAAGAGUCGAUGCCAGGCUGUCAGAUGCCAAGUGCCCCAGGAUCUCACCUCUUGGGUGUGGAUGGGGGAUGGAGCCACAGGAACAAGCCUGGAAGCUGAAGUCCCUGUGGGCAUCUGGGCAAGGAACUGGACCAUGACCACCUACUGGUGUUAAGACUCAAAGAUUCAGCAGGGUGCGGUGGCUCACACCUCUAAUCCCAGCACUUUGGAAGGCCAAGAUGGGAGGCUCACUUGAAGCCAGGAGUUUGAGACCAGCCUGGACAACAUAGCGAGACACCCAUCUCUAUAAAAAAAUUAAAAUAUUAGCUGGAUGUGGUGUCAUACCUGUAGUCCCAGCUACUGAGAAGGCUGAGUCAGGAGGAUUGCUUGAGCCUGGAAGUCAGAGUCUUCUAUAAGCUAUGAUGGCACACUGCACUCCAGCCUGGGAAAUAGAGUAAAAUCUUGUCUCAUAAAAAA